rnacentral:tRNA from 1 species
UCCUCGUUAGUAUAGUGGCCAGUAUCCCCGCCUGUCACGGGGCCGGAGACCGGGGUUCGAUUCCCCGACGGGGAG